rnacentral:rRNA from 1 species
GAUGAACGCUAGCUACAGGCUUAACACAUGCAAGUCGAGGGACCGGCGCACGGGUGAGUAACACGUAUCCAACCUGCCCUUUACUCGGGGAUAGCCUUUCGAAAGAAAGAUUAAUACCCGAUAUAAAGGAUGGGGAUGCGUUCCCUUAGGUUGUUGGUGAGGUAACGGCUCACCAAACCUUCGAUGGAUAGGGGUUGUGAGAGGAAGGCCCCCUGGAUUGGAACUAAGACACGGUCCAAACUCCGACGCAAGGGAGCAGUGAGUAAUAUUGUUCAAUGGACGCUAGCCUGAACCAGCCAAGUGGCGUGAAGGAUGAAGGCUUAUGGGUCGUAAACUUCUUGUAUAUAAGAAUCUGUAUUUUAUGAAUAAGGAUCGGCUAACUCCGUGCCAGCAGCCGCGGUAAUAC